CAUACCAAUAUUAAUAAGUAUAAGAGAGAAUAUUUUUGGUAACAUUAAUAAUUGGUCAAUUGGUACUGGAAGAUAAAAUAUCAAUUGAGAUAUUUUUAUUACUACUUGAUAUUAUAUGUUAUAAUUAUAUAUUAUGUGUGUAUAUUUUGUGGUGGUGAUUGGAAAAGAAAGAAGAAGUGGAUAAGAAGGAAGAGUAGGUAGGAAGAGAAGGAG
rnacentral:lncRNA from 1 species